rnacentral:rRNA from 1 species
GACGAACGCUGGCGGCGUGCUUAACACAUGCAAGUCGAGCGGACAGGCGCGGCGUUUGUUGGGUGCUCGAGUGGCGAACAGGUGAGUAACACGUGUGGAACCCGCCCUUGACUUUGGGAUAACUUCAGGGAACUGGGGCGAAUACCGGAGAGGAGCUCCUGCUGCGUGGUGGGGGUUGGAAAGAUUCGGCGGUUGGGGCUGGUCUCGCUGCUUAUCAGCUGGUUUGUGUGGUAGUGGCUUACCAGCGCUUUGACGGGUAGCCGGCAUGAGAGGGUGACCGGCCACAUUGGGACUGCGAUACGGACCAGACUCCUACGGGACGCAGCAGUGGAGAAUAUUGCAGAAUGGGGGGACGCCUGAUGCAGCGACGCCGCGUGCGGGAUGACGGCCUACGGGUUGUAAACCGCUUUCGCCUGUGACGAGGCGUGAGUGACGGUAAUGGGUAAAGAAGCACCGGCUAACUACGUG